rnacentral:miRNA from 1 species
GGGAGUCUACAGCAGGG